rnacentral:tRNA from 1 species
CCCUUGCUGGUCUGGUGGCUAGGAUUCCUGGUUCUCAUUCAGGACUUCCCAGGUUCAAUUCCUGGGCAGGGAA